UACGUAGGUGGCAAGCGUUGUCCGGAUUUAUUGGGCGUAAAGAGCUCGUAGGCGGUUUGUUGCGUCGGCUGUGAAAUCCCGAGGCUCAACCUCGGGUCUGCAGUCGAUACGAGCAAACUAGAGUGUUGCAGGGGAGACUGGAAUUCCUGGUGUAGCGGGUGAAAGUGCGGCAGAUAUCAGGAGGAACACCGGUGGGCGAAGGCGGGUCUCUGGGCCGAUACUGACGCUGGAGGAGCGAAAGCGUGGGGAGCGAA
rnacentral:rRNA from 1 species